GUUAGUCUGGGCACCGGGGCACUCGGACCCCUAACUCUGGGUGUGAGCUCUCUCUGGAUCUGAACUACCUGACCAAGCUCUUGCUCUCUGCCGAAGCCACAUCUCCCACAGGUGCAGCUGUGGGCGCAGUCUCAACAGCACCCUGGAGCAUGCCCGUGCCUCUUCCUGACCUGGGACCUAACCUGUGGCCACACCGAGCGAGGUGACCGAGCUCUCAGCCGGUGAGGGACAGCGCCCCCAAGCAAAGAGCCCUGGCUAAAGAAUGCUCCACAGAGAAUGGAUGGGGAAACCAUAAAUUCAGAAAAAUCAUGGAGAAGCCUUGUCUGAAGACGUUAGAGCCACACAACGCGAGUGGCUUCUGGAUAUGUGAGAGGACUGCAGAGGUCAGCUGUCUAGAAGAAUCGCAGAAAGUAAAGAGGAUUCUCAGUACAAGCAAGGGAGAAGCGUGUUUCUGUUGCAGAAAAACACAGAAAUGUUGGGGCUGCUUGUUGCCAAAAUAGAGCUUAUUCUAGCUUCCCUUCCAUGGGUCCUUAUUUGUCAUUUGUAUUAUCUGUCCUCAUAUAAAGAUUCUU